GAGGUGGCUUUAUCGUCUGUCAGUGUAAUCCUCAACCAGGUCAAGUACCGACGGACUUCUCAGUCCGUCACUGACGGAUGCGCGGUUUGCUGGUAACUGACAGAAACACGCCCCUCCUGUCUCGUGUGUUUGUUGGCCGAGCUGACUAUAAGCAGGGUAUAGAUGGAAACGCUUUACGCUUCCUGUACUGUAAGUGGCAGUUUGAAAGAAAGAGAUGUAAUCCACCAAUGAACGAAGGAGAAGAAGAAGAAACAGACGACGACGAAAUGACAGCAGUAGGAUAGCAAGUGACUUAAAUUGGAUUUCACCCAUUGGUCACAAUGCACAGCGGGAUUCUGGGUCAGUUGGCUGCAAAGGCCUGUCAUAAGAGACCAAGUUGACUCAGACAGAUGACUCAUCCCACAGUCAGCGGAGGCAGUUAUGUGGAGAAACAUGGAUGCAACGAGAGAAUAAUCACCCCUCCCUGCAUCCCCUAUCGUAAAAAGGUUUGUAGAUGCCAGCUGCCACAAGGCACUACUCAAGUCCAAAUGAAUGUCUCAACUCACAAAAUAUUUAUAUUGACACAGACGCCACCUGAGAA